UGUCGUCAGCUCGUGUUGUGAAAUGUUGGGUUAAGUCCCGCAACGAGCGCAACCCUUAUCCUUUGUUGCCAGCGGUCCGGCCGGGAACUCAAAGGAGACUGCCAGUGAUAAACUGGAGGAAGGUGGGGAUGACGUCAAGUCAUCAUGGCCCUUACGACCAGGGCUACACACGUGCUACAAUGGCGCAUACAAAGAGAAGCGACCUCGCGAGAGCAAGCGGACCUCAUAAAGUGCGUCGUAGUCCGGAUUGGAGUCUGCAACUCGACUCCAUGAAGUCGGAAUCGCUAGUAAUCGUGGAUCAGAAUGCCACGGUGAAUACGUUCCCGGGCCUUGUACACACCGCCCGUCACACCAUGGGAGUGGGUUGCAAAAGAAGUAGGUAGC
rnacentral:rRNA from 2 species